AUUGAACGCUGGCGGAAUGCUUUACACAUGCAAGUCGAACGGCAGCACGGACUUCGGUCUGGUGGCGAGUGGCGAACGGGUGAGUAAUGUAUCGGAACGUGCCCAGUCGUGGGGGAUAACGUAGCGAAAAUACGCUAAUACCGCAUACGAUCUAUGGAUGAAAGCGGGGGAUCGCAAGACCUCGCGCGAUUGGAGCGGCCGAUAUCAGAUUAGGUAGUUGGUGGGGUAAAGGCCCACCAAGCCAACGAUCUGUAGCUGGUCUGAGAGGACGACCAGCCACACUGGAACUGAGACACGGUCCAGACUCCUACGGGAGGCAGCAGUGGGGAAUUUUGGACAAUGGGCGAAAGCCUGAUCCAGCCAUUCCGCGUGCAGGAUGAAGGCCCUCGGGUUGUAAACUGCUUUUGUACAGAACGAAAAGGUUUCUACUAAUACUAGGAGCUCAUGACGGUACUGUAAGAAUAAGCACCGGCUAACUACGUGCCAGCCGCCGCCGUAA
rnacentral:rRNA from 1 species